rnacentral:rRNA from 1 species
UAGCGGCAGGCCUAACACAUGCAAGUCGAGGGGUAACAGGAGUAGCAAUACUUGCUGACGGCCGGCGCACGGGUGAGUAACGCGUAUGCAACCUACCCAUAACAGUGGGAUAGCCCGGAGAAAUUCGGAUUAAUACCGCAUAAAAUUAUCGGAUCGCAUGGUUUGAUGAUUAAAUUUACGGAGGUUAUGGAUGGGCAUGCGUGACAUUAGAUAGUUGGUGAGGUAACGGCUCACCAAGUCAGCGAUGUCUAGGGGGCCUGAGAGGGUAACCCCCCACACUGGUACUGAGACACGGACCAGACUCCUACGGGAGGCAGCAGUGAGGAAUAUUGCGCAAUGGAGGAAACUCUGACGCAGCCAUGCCGCGUGCAGGAUGACGGCCCUAUGGGUUGUAAACUGCUUUUGUGUAGGAAGAAACUCAUCUACGCGUAGAUGAUUGACGGUACUAUAUGAAUAAGCAUCGGCUAACUCCGUGCCAGCAGCCGCAGUAAUACGGAGGAUACAAGCGUUAUCCGGAUUUAUUGGGUUUAAAGGGUGCGUAGGCGGGGGAUUAAGUCAGUGGUGAAAUCCUGCAGCUUAACUGUAGAAUUGCCAUUGAUACUGAUUUUCUUGAAUAUAGUUGAGGUAGGCGGAAUGUGUAAUGUAGCGGUGAAAUGCUUAGAUAUUACACAGAACACCGAUUGCGUAGGCAGCUUACUAAGCUAAUAUUGACGCUGAGGCACGAAAGCGUGGGGAUCGAACAGGAUUAGAUACCCUGGUAGUCCACGCUGUAAACGAUGAUCACUAGCUGUUGGCGAUACACAGUCAGCGGCAAAGCGAAAGCAUUAAGUGAUCCACCUGGGAGUACGACGGCAACGUUGAAACUCAAAUGAAUUGACGG